UACGUAGGGUGCAAGCGUUAAUCGGAAUUACUGGGCGUAAAGCGUGCGCAGGCGGUGAUGUAAGACAGAUGUGAAAUCCCCGGGCUCAACCUGGGAACUGCAUUUGUGACUGCAUGCGUGGAGUGCGGGCAGAGGGGGAUGGAAUUCCGCGUGUAGCAGUGAAAUGCGUAGAUAUGCGGAGGAACACCGAUGGCGAAGGCAAUCCCCUGGGCCUGCACUGACGCUCAUGCACGAAAGCGUGGGGAGCA
rnacentral:rRNA from 1 species